GGUCGAGUUUUUAACAGCCGAAAGGUUGAAACUUUGAGAGUGGCGGAGAGAUCUGUGAGGUUAAAGAUUCGAUCUUUACCAGAUGUGUUCGAGCAUUUUUUGAUUGAUUGGAUUUUGUUUCAUUCUCUGUAAAGCAUAGGGUCGGUUUGUUGUAUACUUUUGCUUGUGGUAUUCUCGUUUGACAGAAGUAUUCUGUGUUGAUUUUCGUUUCGGCUUUGAUCGUUAAGUUGCCAGAUGAUGAUUGAAAAUUUUGCGCAAGGGUUUUGAGUUUCAGAAGAUUGGAGGAUACUCUGAUCUGAAUGAACCAAUGAGAAAACCAUUUUCUUAUAAUUCAGUCUGAUGGCAGCUGAUCAGUGUUAAGAGUUUGGAGUUUUAGCUAGAUGGUUUGAUUUGGAUUGUCACAAUCAGAUAUUUUUUCUUUCAAGUUAGCUUUUCUGUUGCUCAGAAUAUGAUAUACUUGCCAUUCUUUGCCAGAGAUGCGAAUUAGAGUAAGAACGGAUCUCGCUCUUAGCUACUUUUGCAGUUUUCUCAUCUUUGGCCAAACGUAUGGCCGGCGUAUGCAUAUUAGAGCGAGGGCUUUGAGUUCCUGAGGAUUGAAUGUUGUAGUUUUGGGAACCGUGUGAGGUCCUGUUUUCUCUAAAACUGUCUGCUGGCACCAGAUCAAUAUAUCUAAUUAGAAGAUGUGUUGUCAUCAUAUAACUUUUGGUCUUAAGCAGCUUGGACUUUCUUAGGACUCAAGCUAUGCAUGUCUUUUGCUAUGCACAUCUUUUGGCUUAUGUUGAUUUGGAAUUCCUAACUGUGACAAGUAUUAUUUUCUCUCUUCAUUUUGAUGGCUAGGUUCUGGUUUGGACAUAAGUUGCUAUUGAUGUGUGGAAGCUAUGCGUCCUAAGGGAUCAGAUUCUGUGAUAUCAAGAAAUCACUGCAGUUUUCUUGCAGCAUGAUAUUGCAGAGGCAAAAGACUUCUUUUAAGUCCAUGCAGAAUAGAGAUUUGGUUCUGAUUGACAUCAAUCGUAAAAUUUUGGGUUCUGAUUUAAACAUUGAAUGAUGUUGAACAAUGUUUUAAGUUUGAGUUUUCUUUUGUUGUCGUGAUAGUUAACGAAGUUUUAGUUUUAAACGUUUUAAUAGCAAAAAUGUAAGUUAUAAUAUUUGUUAAUGUAAAUUUCGUCUUGUUUA